rnacentral:rRNA from 1 species
CCUACGGGUGGCAGCAGUGAGGAAUAUUGGUCAAUGGACGAGAGUCUGAACCAGCCAAGUAGCGUGAAGGAUGACUGCCCUAUGGGUUGUAAACUUCUUUUAUAUGGGAAUAAAAUGUUCCACGUGUGGGAUUUUGUAUGUACCAUAUGAAUAAGCAUCGGCUAACUCCGUGCCAGCAGCCGCGGUAAUACGGAGGAUGCGGGCGUUAUCCGGAUUUAUUGGGUUUAAAGGGUACGUAGGCGGACAGUCAAGUCAGCGGUAAAAAUGCGGUGCUCAACGCCGUACAGCCGUUGAAACUGGUAGUCUUGAGUGGGCGAGAGGUAUGCGGAAUGCGUGGUGUAGCGGUGAAAUGCAUAGAUAUCACGCAGAACUCCGAUUGCGAAGGCAGCAUACCGGCGCCCUACUGACGCUGAGGCACGAAAGCGUGGGUAUCGAACAGGAUUAGAUACCCUAGUAGUC